GAAAAUGGUUCAGAAGGUGAGUGAUGCACAACGUCAUAAGCAGUAAUUAACACUUUAAUUACAUGCCAAAUUUCAGUCAUUCAAUCUCUUGUAUGAACUUUGGGAAAAAAAAAAAUCUCUUGUAUGAACUAAAAUAAAACAAAACCACGCCUAGCAAUCUAAUGCAAUUCCUAAUCACAAAAGCCUGUACAGAUCUUUCUUUUUAAAUAUCAUAAAGUCACCUUCAAGCGUACUCAGCAGAUCAAUCACAGAUUCCCUUUUGGACCCAUUGAAGUGCUCCAAAAUAUCAGACAACGAAACCCCUUCUUCAUAGGUCUUAAGCCAGUUUAAUAUGGAAUUCUCUGUUGCCUCCAACACAGUGGAACUUCCUUCAUUUUCGUUUAUUUUUUGACGCUUAUCUGGGGAGUACAGAUCUUCAUCAUGGAUAGGAUGUACCUCUCUUUCUUGUGUCCUUGUGACAGUACUAUUAUCAGACACUUGGUUCUGAAGCUCACCAACCUUUGACAUACUCAGGUGGCUAGGUGGUACCACUUCUAGAGACAUCCCACAGCUGUGCAUUUGCAGACAAGUCUUGAUGUGUGUAUAACUUAUGUUUUCAGGCAAUUCAUUUUUAAUGGGCUUUAGCUUGUCUCUAGAGCCAACCUUGUUGAUGGCAGCUUGAAUAUCUACGAAAAUUUCCCUUGUCAGUCCAAUCUCAUGACAAAAUCUGAUCCAAUCGAUCUCAAAACCAUCUUGGGCAGCAUCCAGAAGAUAUUCACAGACAGUUUGUUCUUUUAUAGGAGCUGAUCUACCAGGGAAAUUUGCAAUUUUUUGAAUUGAUAGACCAUCUUCAUGCCACAUUUUCCAUGCUUCAAACUUAGCUGAUGACAAUUUUCUCUGUUGGUUGGGUAUUGUAAUUGGAUGCACCUUUCUGGCAUUAGCAGUCUGUAAACUUGCUUCACCAUCCAAGGAAAGGUUUAAUUUUUGUGAAAGAUGCCUAACUGUUUGAAGAAGAUGAUCUCCAUGCCUCGUGACAAGAUGCUGGUUGACACCAUCAAUGUUUGCUAACCUAGCUUUUGUUGAUGGCCUUGUCAAGGCAAUUUUUUUUAUUGUUUGAUCACCACAUAUAGCAUAUGGAGCAGUCCCAAUGAUUCUAGCAAGCUUCAUCCUCUCUUCCAAAAGCAUGUGAUAGAGUUGUACCUCAGCCUCCGAAAAACCUUCAGAUUCCAGAGUCACAAAAUUCUUGAAUUCUCCAACUCCACUUGUUGCACUUUGAUAUUCCUCAUCAUCAGCCAUUUCACUAGUCAAUGGCAAAACUAGUCGUGGUUGAUAAUCAGGUCUAGCAGAGCUAAGAAAUUGCACUCCUUUCUCACCAACACUUACAAAUUUGUACACAUCCUCAAUAGUCUCCACCAGAAAACCAUGAGAGAUCAAUUGAUAAGCCAAUGAUUUCCACCAAUUUGAAGAGUAGCUUUUCCCAAGUCCAUGAAGUGGAAGCUUGUCAAAAUGCACAUCAAGAAUUUUUUUUGCUCGAGACCCACGAAGAACGUCUAUAGGCAUAUUGAGACCCCAUUUACCCCUACAUGAUUGAAUGCAAGCCAUCAAAAGAAACGCUUCCCUUGACAGGUCGCGUUCCUUCUUUGAGAACCUACAAUUAUCACAAUUUCCACAAUUGUCAGCUGAAACAUGUUCUCCAAAGUAAUCAAGCAAGAACUUUCUUCUACAAGUUGCCAAUAUGCAAUACUUUUGUGCAAUCAUCAAUGACUCCACAACAGCUUUUCUCUGAUUUUCUGUUUUCAAUUCUCCACAGUAGAAGUCAGCUUUCGUAAAGUCACUUCCUGUAUAAUAAAGCCAACAGACAGAAGCUAUACCGUCUCUUCCGCAUCGUCCACUUUCCUGAUAAUAGGACUCUAGACUCUUUGGGCAACCAUAAUGUAUCACUUGCCUUAUGUCCGGCUUAUCAAUGCCCAUCCCAAAAGCAAUAGUGGCAACCAUGACAUGUAGUUCAUCUCUUAUAAAUGACCUAUGGGACUCCUCACGAGCUUUGCUGCUCAUUUUGCCAUGGUAGAUUCCGGUCUUAAUUCCUAUCUCCUGAAGUGACUUGAAAAUCUGUUCAACAUCUUUUAUUGUUGUGCAGUAAACAAUAGUUGACCCACCAUUCCCUGCAAAUUUUGAAAUUUCUUGCACAAGCUUGUCCAUAAAAAGUGUACCACGAUUGAAAUGUUUGACACCAUAGAAGAGAUUUUUUCGGUCAAAUGAGCCAAUGGCCACAUAAGGAUCGUUCAUUCUUAGGGAAUUGAUGAUGUCGAUUCUAACCUUUUCUGUUGCAGUUGCAGUUAAGCCAACGAAUGGAACAUCCAAGAGAAUAUUGCGUAGCUUGUCUAAUUGCUUGUAUUCCACCCUGAAAUCAUGGCCCCAUUCUGAUAUACAAUGUGCCUCGUCAACGGCAAGCAGACAAAUUCCAACCUCUAGCAAUUUUGACCAGAAGCUGACAGGAAGUAAACAUGCCUUUUCAGGAGUCAUGAAUAAUAAAUGAAAAUGACCACUUUGAGCUAAAUUAUGGACAGAGUGAUCACUCUGACCAGUUCCAAGAUAUUCAGCUUUGAUUCCCCUUUGUUUCAAAGCCAUCACCUGGUCUUGCAUCAAAGAUACAAGAGGGCUUAUGACUAUGGCAGUCUUUCCCACAAGCAAAGGAGGAACCUGGUAGCACAAAGACUUUCCACUGCCAGUGGCCAUGACGACCAGACAAUCCCUUCUCUCAAGAAUUUUCUCGAUCACCUCCUUCUGGUAUGGCCGAAACCCAGAAUACCCAAAGAAUUUCUUGAGAGUGGAUAUCAUUUCUUCGCUUGAGACGAGUCCCU
rnacentral:misc_RNA from 1 species